CCAGAAUCAAAACUCCACCUGUCUAGAAUGUUUUUUACUAGUUACUAUUCCGCGGGGUGCAAACAUGGAAUUUACACAACAUAUUCUAACUGCAGUCAAAACUAGUCUAGCUGGUCUCUGGAAAGAUACUUGCCAACCCAGUGUCAUUUGAAGAAAUGUCUCAGAAUUACCUAAGCAGUUGGUCAGUUUAAUGAAAAUCGGGUCCAGAUGUUUUUAUUAUACGCAUAUACACUAUACGCCUCUAGUUCUUUCAAAAG